GACAGAGGAUGCAAGCGUUAUCCGGAAUGAUUGGGCGUAAAGCGUCUGUAGGUGGCUUUUUAAGUUCGCCGUCAAAUCCCAGGGCUCAACCCUGGACAGGCGGUGGAAACUACCAAGCUGGAGUACGGUAGGGGCAGAGGGAAUUUCCGGUGGAGCGGUGAAAUGCGUAGAUAUCGAGAGGAACACCUGCGGCGAAGGCGGGUAGCUGGGCCGACACUGACGCUGAGGCGCGAAAGCCAGGGGAGCGAACGGG
rnacentral:rRNA from 1 species